GUACUCAUAGCUAGAGACGUUGUCGAGCAUAGGAGAGAAAAGGAGUCCCCUCAUGGCGCUCACCAUGAACAAGAAGGCGACGCCUAUGUGCUUGGUGGCUCUCCUCCUCGUGAUGUCCGCCGCUCUCCUCUCGUGCCACGCGUCAGGGAGGGACAUAGGCCCAGCGGAGCAAUGGGCCAAAUACUGCGUCGCCAAACCGACCUGCAAGACGGCGCCGCAGGCGGCCCUCGACGCGUGCAGGAACGACUGCAACUUCUUCGGCUACCCUGCGAACAAGUCCUACUGCUCGGCCGCCGAAGGCGGCAUCUGUUGCUGCAUCAGGUAGUAGAACCUGGCGACGGCGGGCACGUGUCGUCACGUGCUAGCUAGAAAGCCAACCGUGAAUCAGUCAGUUCCCUUUUUUUUUUGUAACGGAGAAAUCAAGCCUGCAUUGUUUAUGCAAGAGGAAAAUAACAAGGUGGUCGAGAGGAA